rnacentral:rRNA from 1 species
UACGUAGGGGGCUAGCGUUGUCCGGAAUCAUUGGGCGUAAAGAGCGUGUAGGCGGUCCGGUCAGUCCGCUGUGAAAGUCGGGGGCUCAACCCUCGAAUGCCGGUGGAUACUGUCGGGCUAGAGUGCGGAAGAGGCGAGUGGAAUUCCUGGUGUAGCGGUGAAAUGCGCAGAUAUCAGGAGGAACACCUAUUGCGAAGGCAGCUCGCUGGGACGUAACUGACGCUGAGACGCGAAAGCGUGGGGAGCAAACAGG